rnacentral:rRNA from 1 species
GUAGGGAAUAUUGGGCAAUGGAUGCAAGUCUGACCCAGCCAUCCCGCGUGCCAGAAGAAGGCCCUCAGGGUUGUAAACGGCUUUUGACGGUGAAGAAUCGACAGGAUGCGUCCUGUUUUGACGGUAGCCGUUGAAUAAGCACCGGCUAACUCCGUGCCAGCAGCCGCGGUAAUACGGAGGGUGCGAGCGUUGUCCGGAUUUAUUGGGUUUAAAGGGUGCGUAGGCUGGAAGGUCAGUCAGCGGUGAAAAGCUGUCGCUUAACGAUAGUCUUGCCGCAGAUACUUCCUUUCUUGGAUGAGGAGGAGGCCACUGGAACGGAUGGUGUAGCGGUGAAAUGCAUAGAUAUCAUCCAGAACACCGAUUGCGAAGGCAGGUGGCUGUACCUUAAUCGACGCUGAUGCACGAAAGCAUGGGGAGCAAACAGGAUUAGAAACCCUGGUAGUCC